UUCUUCGCUGCAUGGUGUAUUGUUGAUGAUUGGCAAAACAUCGGAAAAUUUUUGGAUGAUAAUGUGUCUGAUCCUAAAUGGCAUUUGGUAAUAGAGUUUGUUGCUGGUUUAGUUGGAGACAAGAAGAGAUCUGGCAGCAUCAGAGAUACUAAAACAAUAGAAGAUGUUGAACAACGGUUUACAUUUUGGAUCUCACAUUUAUUUUCCAAUGACGGCAAUAAAGCAAUUGGUUUUCUGGGAGUAAAGUGCUUAUACGAGUUGCAAGACAAAGAUGUCAUCAGGUCAGCAUGUACACAACUAAAUAAGAACUAUUCUCGAGAAAUGAAGAUUGAAGAUGUUUCUUUUACUCCUGUUGAUUCGAAAGCAUUUUUCGAAUUUCUUUCUGAAUGCAAACACAUAAAUGAAGUUGUGUUCCAUUCGUGUGAGUUUAUUGAUAAUCAUGUCUGCCUUGCAAUGAAAAAGUUUUUAUUAAACUGGACAGGCGACAAAUUA